rnacentral:rRNA from 1 species
ACGGAAGGCAGCAGUGGGGGAUAUUGCACAAUGGGGGAAACCCUGAUGCAGCGACGCCGCGUGAGUGAUGAAGUAUUUCGGUAUGUAAAGCUCUAUCAGCAGGGAAGAAAAUGACGGUACCUGACUAAGAAGCUCCGGCUAAAUACGUGCCAGCAGCCGCGGUAAUACGUAUGGAGCAAGCGUUAUCCGGAUUUACUGGGUGUAAAGGGUGCGUAGGCGGCAUGGCAAGUCAGAUGUGAAAGACCGGGGCUCAACUCCGGGGCUGCAUUUGAAACUGUAGCCCUUGAGUAUCGGAGAGGCAAGCGGAAUUCCUAGUGUAGCGGUGAAAUGCGUAGAUAUUAGGAGGAACACCAGUGGCGAAGGCGGCUUGCUGGACGACAACUGACGCUGAGGCGCGAAAGCGUGGGGAGCAAACAGGAUUAGAUACCCUGGUA